AACAAUCAGUGGCAGCUAAUAGGCCGGUGACGACGACCGCCGAGCGCCACCCGCCCGGGAAAAGGAAACACCCUCGGUCGGACUCGUGACAGAACCUAUAGCAGUAAUGUAAAAUGAUCUGUCCCUCAGCCUAAUACAGGGUGGUAGUGUAACAUAGUGAUGUAGUGAGGUAUCAUGGUAUUAGUAUAACAGUAUCAUGGUGGUAGUAUAACAGUGAGGUAUCAGGGUGGUAGUAUAACAGUAUCAGGGUGGUAGUAUAACAGUAUCAGGGUGGUAGUAUAACAGUAUCAGGGUGGUAGUAUAACAGUAUCAGGGUGGUAGUAUAACAGUGAGGUAUCAGGGUGGUAGUGUAAUUUAGUGAUGUGGUGAGGCAUUAUGUCAGGAUGUCUUCUCUUAGCAGUCACCACCAGCAGUACAGACCUCAUUAUUACAGGUCUGUGGCAGUAAGGCAGGCAGGCAUCUCUUACCCAGCUCUAGCCUCUCGUCUAGCCACUAUCUUCUCCACUGGCUGAAGGACUCACUAAUGCUUUCCCAUUCCUUACUGAGUGACACUACGGGCGUGGCGCUCUUCUAAUGAAACCUUUUUGUCAUUCUGG
ensembl:lncRNA